GACGAACGCUGGCGGCGUGCUUAACACAUGCAAGUCGAACGGAAAGGCCUGCUUUCCCUUGUGGAUUGCGGGUACUCGAGUGGCGAACGGGUGAGUAACACGUGAGUGAUCUGCCCCCAACUUGGGUAUAAGCCUGGGAAACUGGGUCUAAUUCCCGAUAGGACUGCAGGGUGGUGCCUGUGGUGGAAAACGAUUUUCUAGUGGUUGGGGAUGAGCUCGCGGCCUAUCAGCUUGUUGGUGGGGUAAUGGCCUACCAAGGCGGCGACGGGUAGCCGGCCUGGGAGGGUGGACGGCCCCAUUGGGACUGGGAUACGGCCCAGACUCCUACGGGAGGCAGCAGUGGGGAAUAUUGCACAAUGGGCGGAAGCCUGAUGCAGCGACGCCGCGUGGGGGAUGACGGCCUUCGGGUUGUAAACUCCUUUCGACCGCGAGGAAGCCACCUGGUUGGAAGGGUGGUGACGGUAGUGGUAGAAGAAGCACCGGCUAACUACGUG
rnacentral:rRNA from 1 species